GGCUCCUGUUUCUCGUAUGUGGCUAACUCAGUUUAGCUGAUUCAUUUGUUUACAUUUUUGGAUUAACUCGGAAUUUUAGGUUUCGAAGCAAGUUCACAGUUCAACCAGACUUGUUACCGGGGCAACAGAGUCUUAAACCCAAAUCUGCGACUCAGUUUUAUGCCUGCAAUGUUUUACUUAAUCUCUCAACCAAUUAAUGUUAGAGUAGCUAGUCAUCGUGAGAGCAGCCAACCACUGGUAUGCUUAUCUGGGCCUCUGGUCCUACCUUAUUGACGCUGGUUGACGUUUGCCUGGCGCUUCCACUUUGAAUAUGUUGGAGGAACAGAAGACACAGGCCAUUAAGUUACAAAAAUCUUAUUUUUGUUCUAUGUGCACUACUAUUAAUUGCUGGAGCAGGAAGAUAUUAGACAUUCCCACCACCAACCCUGCCCUGCCUGUUGCCAAGAAGAAAGAAAAAUGGAAUAAGCACCCACCACCUCUAUUGCCGCCCCCUGGUCUAGCCCCUGCAGCGUAGAAGCAAGCAUGGGUGGGGGAGCCCCAACCACUGGAAAGUGAUGUCAUGGCAACAGUAACCACAGUGGCGUACAUCAUUUCUGUUUCACAGCAGCAAACCAUGCGUGCUCCAGAGAGACCUCUCUUCUUCGGCGAAGAGACUGUGUGUGCUGUCCUGCCUGAUAAGACUGC